UACGAAGGGUGCAAGCGUUACUCGGAAUUACUGGGCGUAAAGCGUGCGUAGGUGGUUUGUUAAGUCUGAUGUGAAAGCCCCGGGCUCAACCUGGGAAUUGCAUUGGAUACUGGCGGGCUAGAGUGCGGUAGAGGAUAGUGGAAUUCCCGGUGUAGCAGUGAAAUGCGUAGAGAUCGGGAGGAACAUCUGUGGCGAAGGCGACUGCCUGGACCAGCACUGACACUGAGGCACGAAAGCGUGGGGAGCAAACAGG
rnacentral:rRNA from 1 species